CUUGGUGUAUAUGGCGCAAAGGGUACACCUGUUCCCAUUCCGAACACAGAAGUUAAGCUUUGUCGCGUCGAUGGUACUUCGUGACUACACGUGGAAGAGUAGAUAUAUGCCAAGA
rnacentral:rRNA from 1 species